AUUCUUAAUACAAUCUUCAAAAGCACCUUCUCCCAAAUAUGGUAACAUUUGCAGGCUCCCCGUACUAGGACCCACCCCAAAGGGACGAUGCAUUCGCCGCCAAUGUUGCCUUUGUUUAAUCACGUGUCACAUGACCUCCCAUCCCUGGAAGGAGAAAGGUAAAGGUUAAGUUGGCCAACCAACAAAGUGGUAUCUGAUGAAUUUUCCUACAGAAAAGAUGUGGGGAGAGAAAAACUGAAGGAUAAAAGGAAGGCAUCCUAGAAAGAGGGGAACUGGAUGAACAAUGGCAGAGUGGGAAAGUUUGAAGAUAAUAGUAAAUCAUAAAUAUGGCGUUAUGAUAGUAAAGGACAGGUAGAAUUCAGAACAUGCAUUUGACUCCAUCGAGAGAUGAAACUGGAAAAGUAAUUCUGUGUUCAGAGUGUGUGAGGACAGGACUUCCCUAUCAAGAGGGAAGACUUUGUUUUGUAGAAUGGAGACAGCCCAGCGUCCUCGUCUGUUUCUGCCGUCAUUUUAGUUUCUCCAUGUCAACGUGAAUUUCAGGCUUCCUCCCGUGGGUAAAUCUGUGAUUCUAAAAACUCACAGGUUCUGUUGGAAUGCGUUCACGUGUUCGUGUUCUCCAGCAUUUGCGGCUCACUGCAGGUCUCACAAACGCUCCUUGACCUCCCAUAAUCAGUCGCACUAUUUUUACUGAAAUUUUUACUCUGCUGCUUCUCAUGUUUUUUACUAAUUGUGCCUCACUUUUCCUUCUACCCCCGGUACUAGUUCUAACAUUUUCGAGCAACUGGCCUUUGGUGUUGAGAUGUAAAUAUUAAUUCCUUGUUAUUUUUUUUUAACUGAGGUCGACUUUACAUUUCUUUUUGUUGUAACAAAGCAACUGGUACACUUUUAAUGUUUAAAACUGAGCAUUAUCAUUUCUUCCCAGUAAAAGAAAAAAGGAAAAUGAAAAUAAACAAGAACAAUAUUAUAAUAGAGAACGCCAAUUCCCAAUAAGACUCUACAGGCUCACUCAAGUCAUCACUAGGAAUUUUACUUUAACAGUGUUCUCUUACACUGCAAGGAAGUCCAUUAGACAUCACAAUUAAACAUGCCAUGCCCUGGCUGGUGGAAAGUCAGGUUCUCAAAAUGCCCACUUAACCCACUGAAACACCUCCAACCCACCUUUGGCUGACCUAUAAAUGCAUUUUUAAAAAAUGUCUUCUAUAAGAGGAAGCAGACAGAUACAUGUUGGUAAAUGCUAACUGCCCAUAUUCAGAGACACAGUGAGCUCAACCUGCAGAGAAAGGAGGGGGAAAACUAGAGUUCUAUGCGCUACCACGUGGGCGGGCUUCCAGCCUGCAGCCGAGAUGCGGGAACAGAAAGUUUGUCUUCCUCCCCACAGAGCACGGUGGCGUUGAUUCCACACGGGGUUUGUUGAGUUGGGAAGGGAUGAGAAAUGAAUUUGGAACAGAAACGGUAGAGAUUCUUCCCCCACUGUGUUCUGCUCAAGGUAUUUUCCCCAAGAUAAUUGCUGACCAGAAUGUCCAGCAGAGAGAAGA